UACGGGGGGAGCAAGCGUUGUUCGGAUUUACUGGGCGUAAAGGGCGCGUAGGCGGUCAGCACAAGUCAGUUGUGAAAUCUCCGGGCUUAACCCGGAAAGGUCAACUGAUACUGUGCGACUAGAGUGCGGAAGGGGCAACUGGAAUUCUCGGUGUAGCGGUGAAAUGCGUAGAUAUCGAGAGGAACACCUGCGGCGAAGGCGGGUUGCUGGGCCAACACUGACGCUGAUGCGCGAAAGCCAGGGGAGCGAACGGG
rnacentral:rRNA from 1 species